GGACUCGACAACCCCUUCUUGGAGGCAGAGGUUUGGGCAGCGAUUUGUGCAUCCCCGUCAGAGAAGGCGCCAGGCCCCGAUGGCUUCAACGGCACCUUCUUCAGAGCAUGCUGGCCGACUAUCAAGGUGGAUGUAAUGGCAGUGUUUGAGAGUUUCUACCAGCAGGCUGACAGAGAUUUUGGCGCACUGAACCGUGCCCUCAUCAUGUUGCUUCCCAAAAAGGAUGGUGCAAUUCAAAUGGGUGACUUCAGGCCCAUCAGCCUGAUACAUUCAAUGGCUAAGCUGAUCACAAAGGUGUUGUCCAUCAGGCUUGCAGGUGUAUUGGAUCAGCUGAUCUCUCCUGCACAGAGCGCAUUCCAAAGGAAGAAAGGGAUCCAUGACAGUUUUCUCUACGUCUAG
rnacentral:rRNA from 1 species